rnacentral:rRNA from 1 species
CCUACGGGAGGCAGCAGUGAGGAAUAUUGGUCAAUGGGCGGAAGCCUGAACCAGCCAAGUAGCGUGCAGGAAGAAGGAUCUAUGGGUUGUAAACUUCUUUUAUAGGGGAAUCAAGGUAUCCACGUGUGGAUAUUUGCAUGUACCCUAUGAAUAAGCAUCGGCUAACUCCGUGCCAGCAGCCGCGGUAAUACGGAGGAUGCGAGCGUUAUCCGGAUGUAUUGGGGUUAAAGGGUGCGUAGGUUGUUUUUUAAGUCAGCGGUGAAAGUUUGUGGCUCAACCAUAAAAUUGCCGUUGAAACUGGAAGACUUGAGUGUGUUUGAGGUAGGCGGAAUGCGUGGUGUAGCGGUGAAAUGCAUAGAUAUCACGCAGAACUCCGAUUGCGAAGGCAGCUUACUAAGCCAUAACUGACACUGAAGCACGAAAGCGUGGGGAUCAAACAGGAUUAGAUACCCGGGUAGUC